UGGGGAAUAUUGCGCAAUGGGCGAAAGCCUGACGCAGCGACGCCGCGUGAGGGAUGAAGGUUUUCGGAUCGUAAACCUCUGUCAGAAGGGAAGAAACCGCACUGUGCUAAUCAGCAGUGCCUUGACGGUACCUUCAAAGGAAGCACCGGCUAACUCCGUGCCAGCAGCCGCGGUAAUACGGAGGGUGCAAGCGUUAAUCGGAAUGACUGGGCGUAAAGCGCACGUAGGCUGCUUUGUAAGUCAGGGGUGAAAUCCCACGGCUCAACCGUGGAACUGCCUUUGAUACUGCUUAGCUUGAAUCCGGGAGAGGGUGGCGGAAUUCCAGGUGUAGGAGUGAAAUCCGUAGAUAUCUGGAGGAACAUCAGUGGCGAAGGCGGCCACCUGGACCGGUAUUGACGCUGAGGUGCGAAAGCGUGGGGAGCAAACAGG
rnacentral:rRNA from 1 species